UGCUGGAGAAAUAGACUGAUUCACUGACACGGAGCGUGGUGCUUAGUUCUAAUUUAUUUAUUUGGGAGUUGUGGGGAAAUAACACCGAUAACAAAGACGAAGGUAUAUCGGUAGCUGUGCCCAGGUGUGCAUGUUACAAGCCUCAGAAGGGUGGUGUCAUGAGGAAUGGGGGGGGGAUGCAAGUGAGUUCUAUAGGCUUGCAUUGGUUUUUAACAGCUAUUUCUCUCGUCUCCAGCAUGUCCACCGUGAGCCGUCCUCUGGCAGAACUGGAGGGUCCCAAGAUGGUUGAUCCGGGUUCACUCUGCAGAACUAAACUUGCUUUUGUCACAUUUAUCAAGAUGGUUCGAAAGUCGGUCGCUCUGGAGCACAGGUUCGAGAGAAAUCUCUCCACAACCGGAAGAAUGCUUCCUUGGACUAUUAUUAUUUCCUUUUGUUCAUCCCUAAGACGCAUCCCUGUACCACAAGCCUUCGGGGAGCACGCUCCAGAGGACGGGGUAGACCUCCGAUCGGGACAAACCCAGAUCUUCUCCACCUGAGUGAUGAGAGUUUGGGGGGCACAGGAGGGCCGAGGUGAGGAACCCGCUUCCCUCUGACGACAAGAUCAAACUCGGUACCCGGCCGGCAAGUUUCGACAACGGGCGGCGCUUAGAUCCGGAGGCCAAGAGAUGCAUCUUCCCCAUUUGGUCGCCUGGGAGAGACACUCCUUCACCCUAGGCGAGUCAGCCAUGGGCUCUGGAGGAGCCCAAUUGAACACUUCUGUGAAUCUCCAAAGAUGACCCCUUUUGAGCUGCAGACCCUGUUAUCCACCAGCCACCACAGAAGGAAGCAUGCCGAUGCCCCUGGAAAUGACAAGGUCUUCCACGGGUUUGAGCCUGUGGUCUUAAAUGCAAAAGCAGACCUUCCUUGAAAACAAGUGAACAACACAACAGACAGAACAGAGCGCCUGUUGAAAACACCCAAUGGGCUGCGUGCAGGCUUCCCGAGAUCUGGAGAUUUAACCUAAGUAACCCUUUUUUCCUGCCUUCCGAAACAGCACAGCUUUCUAAAAGGCGUCCGCUUGAAUUUCAUUGAUGUAGUGCUUUUCUUUAAAAA